rnacentral:rRNA from 1 species
GGAUUGGGUAAUGGAGGCAACUCUGACCCAGCCAUGCCGCGUGCAGGAAGACGGUCCUCUGGAUUGUAAACUGCUUUUAUUUGGGAAGAAACCUUUCUACGUGUAGAGAGCUGACGGUACCAAAUGAAUAAGCACCGGCUAACUCCGUGCCAGCAGGCGCGGUAAUACGGAGGGUGCAAGCGUUAUCCGGAAUCAUUGGGUUUAAAGGGUCCGCAGGCGGGCCAGUAAGUCAGUGGUGAAAUCCCAUCGCUUAACGAUGGAACUGCAUUGAUACUGCUGGUCUUGAAUUCGGUCGAAGUGGGCGGAAUGUGUCAUGUAGCGGUGAAAUGCAUAGAUAUGACACAGAACACCGAUGGCGAAGGCAGCUCACUAGUCCUGAAUUGACGCUCAUGGACGAAAGCGUGGGGAGCGAACAGGAUUAGAUACCCUGGUAGUCCACGCCGUAAACCAUGAUUACUCGAUGUUGGCGAUAUACUGUCAGUGUCUAAGCCAAAGUGAUAAGUGAUCCACCUGGGGAGUACGAUCGCAAGGUUGAAACUCA